ensembl:lncRNA
UGGGGGCUUUCAUCAAGGUUAGUGUUUCUGUAGGUUGGGGGCUUUCAUCAAGGUUAGUGUUUCUAUAGGUUGGGGGCUUUCAUCAAGGUUAGUGUUUCUGUAGGUUGGGGGCUUUCAUCAAGGUUGGUGUUUCUAUAGGUUGGGGGCUUUCAUCAAGGUUUGUGUUUCUGUAGGUUGGGGGCUUUCAUCAAGGUGUUUCUGUAGGUUGGGGGCUUUCAUCAAGGUUAGUGUUUCUGUAGGUUGGGGGCUUUCAUCAAGGUGUUUCUGUAGGUUGGGGGCUUUCAUCAACGUUAGUGUUUCGAUAGGUUGGUGGCUUCCAUCAAGGUGUUUCUGUAGGUUGGGGGCUUUCAUCAAGGUGUUUCUAUAGGUUGGGGGCUUUCAUCAAGGUGUUUCUGUAGGUUGGGGGCUUUCAUCAAGGUUAGUGUUUCUGUGUGUUGGGGGCUUUCAUCAAGGUGUUUCUGUAGGUUGGGGGCUUUCAUCAAGGUUAGUGUUUCUGUAGGUUGGGG